rnacentral:rRNA from 1 species
GAUGAACGCUGGCGGCGUGCCUAAUACAUGCAAGUCGAGCGAACGGACGAGAAGCUUGCUUCUCUGAUGUUAGCGGCGGACGGGUGAGUAACACGUGGAUAACCUACCUAUAAGACUGGGAUAACUUCGGGAAACCGGAGCUAAUACCGGAUAAUAUUUUGAACCGCAUGGUUCAAAAGUGAAAGACGGUCUUGCUGUCACUUAUAGAUGGAUCCGCGCUGCAUUAGCUAGUUGGUAAGGUAACGGCUUACCAAGGCAACGAUGAAUAGCCGACCUGAGAGGGUGAUCGGCAACACUGGAACGGAGACACGGUCCAGACUCCUACGGGAGGCAGAAGUAGGGAAUCUUCCGCAAUGGGCGAAAGCCUGACGGAGCAACGCCGCGGGAGUGAUGAAGGUCUUCGGAUCGUAAAACUCUGUUAUUAGGGAAGAACAUAUGUGUAAGUAACUGUGCACAUCUUGACGGUAACUAAUCAGAAAGCCACGGCUAACUACGUG